UACGGGGGGGGCAAGCGUUGUUCGGAAUUACUGGACGUAAAGGGCGCGUAGGCGGUCCUGUAAGUCUUGUGUGAAAUCCCUCGGCUUAACUGGGGAACUGCACGAGAUACCGCGAGACUUGAGUUCGGGAGAGGAAAGCGGAAUUCCGGGUGUAGCGGUGAAAUGCGUAGAUAUCCGGAGGAAUACCGGUGGCGAAGGCGGCUUUCUGGACCGACACUGACGCUGAGGCGCGAAAGCUAGGGGAGCAAACGGG
rnacentral:rRNA from 1 species